rnacentral:rRNA from 1 species
AUUGAACGCUGGCGGCAGGCCUAACACAUGCAAGUCGAAUGGUAACAGGAAACAGCUUGCUGUUUCGCUGACGAGUGGCGGACGGGUGAGUAAUGUCUGGGAAACUGCCUGAUGGAGGGGGAUAACUACUGGAAACGGUAGCUAAUACCGCAUAACGUCGCAAGCCCAAAGAGGGGGACCUUCGGGCCUCUUGCCAUCAGAUUUGCCCAGAUGGGAUUAGCUAGUAGGUGGGGUAACGGCUCACCUAGGCGACGAUCCCUAGCUGGUCUGAGAGGAUGACCAGCCACACUGGAACUGAGACACGGUCCAGACUCCUACGGGAGGCAGCAGUGGGGAAUAUUGCACAAUGGGCGCAAGCCUGAUGCAGCCAUGCCGCGUGUAUGAAGAAGGCCUUCGGGUUGUAAAGUACUUUCAGCGGGGAGGAAGGGAGUAAAGUUAAUACCUUUGCUCAUUGACGUUACCCGCAGAAGAAGCACCGGCUAACUCCGUG